UACGAAGGGGACUAGCGUUGUUCGGAAUUACUGAGCGUAAAGCGCGCGUAGGCGGAUCGCUAAGUCAGGGGUGAAAUCCCAGGGCUCAACCCUGGAACUGCCUUUGAUACUGACGAUCUGGAGAUCGGGAGAGGUUGGUGGAAUUCCGAGUGUAGAGGUGAAAUUCGUAGAUAUUCGGAGGAACACCAGAAGCGAAGGCGGCCAACUGGCCCGAUACUGACGCUGAGGCGCGAAAGCGUGGGGAGCAAACAGG
rnacentral:rRNA from 1 species